rnacentral:snoRNA from 1 species
UUAUGAUGAACCUUUUAGAUGACGAGUCUGAUCCAGUUUGACUGAUGCAGACAAACACUAUUUUACCAUUCAUGCAUUUCCUGAAC